rnacentral:rRNA from 1 species
AUACGGAGGAUGCAAGCGUUAUCCGGAUUUAUUGGGUUUAAAGGGUGCGUAGGCGGGACUGUAAGUCAGGGGUGAAAUACUGCAGCUUAACUGUAGCAUUGCCUUUGAAACUGCCGUUCUUGAGUACAGUUGAGGUAGGCGGAAUGUGGUGUGUAGCGGUGAAAUGCAUAGAUAUACCACAGAACGCCGAUUGCGAAGGCAGCUUACUAAGCUGUUACUGACGCUGAGGCACGAAAGCGUGGGGAUCAAACAGGAUUAGAUACCCUGGUAGUCCACGCUGUAAACGAUGAUUACUGGUUGUUAGCGAUAUAUAGCUAGUGACUAAGCGAAAGCAUUAAGUAAUCCACCUGGGGAGUACGUCGGCAACGAUGAAACUCAAAGGAAUUGGCGGGG